rnacentral:rRNA from 1 species
UACGUAGGGGCCUAGCGUUGUCCGGAUUUAUUGGGCGUAAAGAGCUCGUAGGCGGUUCGGUAAGUCAGGUGUGAAAUCUCCACGCUCAACGUGGAGGCGCCACCUGAAACUGCCGUGACUCGAGUCCGGUAGGGGAGUGUGGAAUUCCCGGUGUAGCGGUGAAAUGCGCAGAUAUCAGGAGGAACACCGGUGGCGAAGGCGGAUCUCUGGGCCACUACUGACGCUGAGAAGCGAAAGCAUGGGGAGCGAACAGG